rnacentral:rRNA from 1 species
UACGGAGGGUGCAAGCGUUGUUCGGAAUCACUGGGCGUAAAGGGCGUGUAGGCGGUCUAUCAAGUCUGGUGUGAAAUCCCCUCGCUCAACGAGGGAACUGCGCCGGAAACUGACAGACUAGAGUACCGGAGAGGAAGGUGGAAUUCCCGGUGUAACGGUGAAAUGCGUAGAUAUCGGGAGGAACACCAGUGGCGAAGGCGGCGACCUGGACGGACACUGACGCUGAGACGCGAAAGCGUGGGGAGCAAACAGG